rnacentral:lncRNA from 1 species
UCCAACACAGCAUCCCUUGAUCAGCAGAUAGUCAUCCUUCACCUCACCAUAAUGAGGGAAGCCACCCAUAGGAGUAAUAUCUUUUUCAGUCCUGUUAGAGAUGAUAUACAAAUAUUACACACAUGAACAGGUUGCAACAUAUUUAAUAUUUUAGUGAUUUACAGAUAAAAAAAUAAAAACUAAAAUUUUGUAAUAACCUCUAUAAAUAUGCACAUUUCUUAUUCAAAGAAUUUAACAUUUCUCGACUCACUUAAAUACUUAAAGGCAUACCAAGACUCUGCUUCAGAGAGAGGAAAAAAAUAUUCGAAGUCCCUAACCUGUCAAACUCAGUAAUGGCAGUGUGGUUCUCCUGUCCAGUCUUUCCAAGCUUGUAAAUCUUCUUGUUCAUUUCUGUUCUGUGGUGAUAACCAUUCUGACCAGCCCUAGCAACAGUGUAUGAA